rnacentral:tRNA from 1 species
UAAAGUGUAGACUAAUGGAAAGUCACCUAUAUUUGGCGUAGCAAUAUGUAAGUUCGAAUCUUACCACUUUAA